UUCAGGUAACAUCAAAUCGUACCCCAAACCGACACAGGUGGUCAGGUAGAGAAUACCAAGGCGCUUGAGAGAACUCGGGUGAAGGAACUAGGCAAAAUGGUGCCGUAACUUCGGGAGAAGGCACGCUGAUAUGUAGGUGAAGCGACUUGCUCGUGGAGCUGAAAUCAGUCGAAGAUACCAGCUGGCUGCAACUGUUUAUUAAAAACACAGUACUGUGCAAACACGAAAGUGGACGUAUACGGUGUGACGCCUCCCCGGUGCCGGAAGGUUAAUUGAUGGGGUUAGCGCAAGCGAAGCUCUUGAUCGAAGCCCCGGUAAACGGCGGCCGUAACAAUAACGGUCCUAAGGUAGCGAAAUUCCUUGUCGGGUAAGUUCCGACCUGCACGAAUGGCGUAAUGAUGGCCAGGCUGUCUCCACCCGAGACUCAGUGAAAUUGAACUCGCUGUGAAGAUGCAGUGUACCCGCGGCAAGACGGAAAGACCCCGUGAACCUUUACUAUAGCUUGACACUGAACAUUGAGCCUUGAUGUGUAGGAUAGGUGGGAGGCUUAGAAGUGUGGACGCCAGUCUGCAUGGAGCCGACCUUGAAAUACCACCCUUUAAUGUUUGAUGUUCUAACGUUGACCCGUAAUCCGGGUUGCGGACAGUGUCUGGUGGGUAGUUUGACUGGGGCGGUCUCCUCCUAAAGAGUAACGGAGGAGCACGAAGGUUGGCUAAUCCUGGUCGGACAUCAGGAGGUUAGUGCAAUGGCAUAAGCCAGCUUGACUGCGAGCGUGACGGCGCGAGCAGGUGCGAAAGCAGGUCAUAGUGAUCCGGUGGUUCUGAAUGGAAGGGCCAUCGCUCAACGGAUAAAAGGUACUCCGGGGAUAACAGGCUGAUACCGCCCAAGAGUUCAUAUCGACGGCGGUGUUUGGCACCUCGAUGUCGGCUCAUCACAUCCUGGGGCUGAAGUAGGUCCCAAUGGUAUGGCUGUUCGCCAUUUAAAGUGGUACGCGAGCUGGGUUUAGAACGUCGUGAGACAGUUCGGUCCCUAUCUGCCGUGGGCGCUGGAGAACUGAGGGGGGCUGCUCCUAGUACGAGAGGACCGGAGUGGACGCAUCACUGGUGUUCGGGUUGUCAUGCCAAUGGCACUGCCCGGUAGCUAAAUGCGGAAGAGAUAAGUGCUGAAAGCAUCUAAGCACGAAACUUGCCCCGAGAUGAGUUCUCCCUGACCCUUUAAGGGUCCUGAAGGAACGUUGAAGACGACGACGUUGAUAGGCCGUGUGUGUAAGCGCAGCGAUGCGUUGAGCUAACCGGUACUA
rnacentral:rRNA from 1 species